rnacentral:lncRNA from 1 species
GUGGCGUGACGUGGAGACGGUGACGGCGGUUGUCGUUGGAGUCGUCGUUCCAGCAGGCUUCAGCGUUGGUGAGGCGUCUAGGGACGUGCACAACAUCGAGGCGGACAUCGUGACGCGGUCGAAACGGUCGGAGAGGCUUCUGGACGGCGACGGGCGGAGCUCCGGGUGCGGCGUCGGCAUGGGGUCGGGGACGGCGCGGCCAACGGCAUCAAAAGAUCCCGAAACCUUGUCAUAAAGGUAGGAGAUGGUCACGGGAGUGCACCGGUGAAAGGAAUUUGGAAACAAACCUUCGGAGAGAGCUCACCGGUAACAAUGGUGGUGGCGACGGGCGGAGACGGACGUCGCGAGUACGGGCUCCACACAGCUCUAGAGGCAAACCUAACAAUAGAAGAACGAGGGAAGAUGGGCAGAGGCUCGAAGUGACGCGCUCGGAAUCAUCUUUCAUUGGUCAUGGAAGGAGAUCGGGAGCAGAAUGCCGACGGGCGGCAUUCGGGGCGCCGGUGCUACAUGGCAUUGAGAGCCAUGAUUCGGGGAAGUUAAGGAGAGGAAUGGAAGGACGAGGGCAGUGGGCUUAGGUUCAUAGCACCUGGACGCGAAACGAAAAAAGGAAGGACGGGGAUUCGGAGGAGAUUGCGGCGUGAUGGCGUGCGCCUGCCUGUUCUGUCCUCGUGCGUGCGGGAGGAGGAAGACGAGGUGGGGCUGGGCUGGGGCUGGUAAGUUGGGCCGGCCCAGUUUGGGUCGGUCCAUUCUUUUUUUUUCUUUUUUCCUAUUUUCUGUUUUUAUUAAUAACUUUUGAUUACUAACUCCAAAUAAGUCCAAAUAAACUUCAGAAAAGUUGUAAAUUCAAAUCCUCCAAAAUGUGAGCUUUUGGAACUUAAUCCUUUCAAAAUAAAAUAAGUAAAAAUAAUUUUGCUUAUAUAAAUGCCAUUAGGGCUUUAUAAGUGAUAAAUAAAAUAGAUUUUGAAAUCUAUUA